ACGAACGCUGGCGGCGUGCUUAACACAUGCAAGUCGAACGGAAAGGCCCUGCUUGCAGGGUGCUCGAGUGGCGAACGGGUGAGUAACACGUGGGUGAUCUGCCCCUUACUUUGGGAUAAGCCUGGGAAACUGGGUCUAAUACUGGAUAGGACCAUGCUGUAGGUGGUGUGGUGGAAAGAUUAGUUUCGGUAAGGGAUGAGCUCGCGGCCUAUCAGCUUGUUGGUGGGGUAAUGGCCUACCAAGGCGUCGACGGGUAGCCGGCCUGCGAGGGUGGACGGCCACAUUGGGACUGAGAUACGGCCCAGACUCCUACGGGAGGCAGCAGUGGGGAAUAUUGCACAAUGGGCGCAAGCCUGAUGCAGCGACGCCGCGUGGGGGAUGACGGCCUUCGGGUUGUAAACUCCUUUCAGCCAUGACGAAGCCCUUGUGGUGACGGUAGUGGUAGAAGAAGCACCGGCUAACUACGU
rnacentral:rRNA from 1 species